rnacentral:rRNA from 1 species
GACGGAAGGUGCAAGCGUUGCUCGGAAUCACUGGGCGUAAAGGGUGCGUAGGCGGCUUGGUAAGUUGGGUGUGAAAGCCCCGGGCUCAGCCCGGGAAGGGCACUCGAAACUGCCGAGCUGGAGUGCCGGAGGGGAGAGUGGAAUUUCUGGUGUAGCGGUGAAAUGCGUAGAUAUCAGGAGGAAUACCGGUGGCGAAAGCGACUCUCUGGACGGCAACUGACGCUGAGGCACGAAAGCGUGGGGAGCAAACAGG